UAGUCGAGUGACACUGCGCCGAAAAUGUACCGGGGCUAAACAUAUUACCGAAGCUGUGGAUUGUCCUUUGGACAAUGGUAGGAGAGCGUUCUAAGGGCGUUGAAGCAUGAUCGUAAGGACAUGUGGAGCGCUUAGAAGUGAGAAUGCCGGUGUGAGUAGCGAAAGACGGGUGAGAAUCCCGUCCACCGAUUGACUAAGGUUUCCAGAGGAAGGCUCGUCCGCUCUGGGUUAGUCGGGUCCUAAGCUGAGGCCGACAGGCGUAGGCGAUGGAUAACAGGUUGAUAUUCCUGUACCACCUAUAAUCGUUUUAAUCGAUGGGGGGACGCAGUAGGAUAGGCGAAGCGUGCGAUUGGAUUGCACGUCUAAGCAGUAAGGCUGAGUAUUAGGCAAAUCCGGUACUCGUUAAGGCUGAGCUGUGAUGGGGAGAAGACAUUG
rnacentral:rRNA from 1 species